rnacentral:rRNA from 1 species
UGUGAUAAAUUAGUCGGGGUGUUUUAUAACUUGUUAUUGGAGAAUGAAAAUAGAUAAAUUGCGGGUGUGGAGAUCCGUAAUUGGACAGUAAAUGUUUUACCUUGUUAUUAAUUGGGUUUAGAAGUAACCUAUUUAAGUUGGUGUAAAAACCAGGUAAAAAAGAGUAAUUAUUUCUGUUAAAAACCAAUGAAUUGAAACUAUAUUAAUAUACAGUAUGUUAUAAUAAGUAGAUAAAUACUUUUUUGAGGUCUUGUUUUAAUUCGAACUGUUUAUUAAAAACAUUUCCAUAAGAAUAUAUUUAUGGUUGGACCUGCUCAAUGUAUUAUCAAUAGCCGCAGUAUUCUGACUGUGCUAAGGUAGCAUAAUUACUUGUCCUUUAAUUGGGGAAUUGUCUGAAUGGUUGUUUUGGGUUAUAAAAUAUCAAAAAAGUUUAAUUGAAAUUAGUUUGUAAGUAAAGAACCUUACAGUGUUGUAAUAGACGGAAAGACCCCGAGAGCUUGAUAAAAUUUUAUUUGGGGCAAAGGUUUUUAUUUAAAAGCAUAUUGAUCCCGUUGGGUUUGUUGGUAAAGUUACCUCGGGGAUAACAGGGUUAGAAAUAAGGAGAGUUCAUAUCGAUUUACUUAGUUGCUACCUCGAUG